UCACAUGCAAGUCGAACGAGAAACCUCGGGCUGCUCGAGGGAGUAAAGUGGCGCACGGGUGAGUAACGCGUGGGUAACCUGCCCUUGGAUCGGGGAUAACUUCGCGAAAGCGUAGCUAAUACCGGAUAAUGUCCUGUUGACUUCGGUCUUCAGGAUGAAAGAUGACCUCUUCAUGAAAGUUGUCGUUCAGGGAGGGGCCCGCGUACCAUUAGCUUGUUGGUGGGGUAAUGGCCCACCAAGGCAACGAUGGUUAGCUGGUCUGAGAGGAUGAUCAGCCACACUGGAACUGAAACACGGUCCAGACUCCUACGGGAGGCAGCAGUGAGGAAUUUUGCGCAAUGGGGGAAACCCUGACGCAGCAACGCCGCGUGAGUGAAGAAGGCUUUCGGGUCGUAAAGCUCUGUCAAGUGGGAAAAAAAGCUCUCGAUUAAUAGUCGGGAGACCUGAUGGUACCACUGGAGGAAGCACCGGCUAACUCCGUGCCAGCAGCCGCGGUAAUACGGAGGGUGCAAGCGUUGUUCGGAAUUACUGGGCGUAAAGAGCGUGUAGGCGGUUUGGCAAGUCAGAUGUGAAAGCCCUGGGCUCAACCCAGGAAGUGCAUUUGAAACUGCCAUCCUUGAGUAUGGGAGAGGAGAGUGGAAUUCCCAAUGUAGAGGUGAAAUUCGUAGAUAUUGGGAGGAACACCCGUGGCGAAGGCGACUCUCUGGACCAAUACUGACGCUGAGACGCGAAAGCGUGGGGAGCAAACAGGAUUAGAUACCCUGGUAGUCCACGCCGUAAACGAUGAGAACUAGGUGUAGCGGGUAUUGACCCCUGCUGUGCCGAAGUUAACGCAUUAAGUUCUCCGCCUGGGGAGUACGGCCGCAAGGCUAAAACUCAGAGGAAUUGACGGGGGCCCGCACAAGCGGUGGAGCAUGUGGUUUAAUUCGACGCAACGCGAAGAACCUUACCUGGGUUUGACAUCCUUUGACCGUCUGGGAAACCAGAUUUUUCCGACUUUGUCGGAACAGAGUGACAGGUGCUGCAUGGCUGUCGUCAGCUCGUGUCGUGAGAUGUUGGGUUAAGUCCCGCAACGAGCGUAACCCUUGUCUUUAGUUGCCAUUAUUAAGUUAGGCACUCUAAAGAGACCGCCUCGGUUAACGGGGAGGAAGGUGGGGAUGACGUCAAGUCCUCAUGGCCUUUAUAUCCAGGGCUACACACGUGCUACAAU
rnacentral:rRNA from 1 species